UACGGAGGGUGCUAGCGUUGUUCGGAAUUACUGGGCGUAAAGCGCACGUAGGCGGCUUUGUAAGUUAGAGGUGAAAGCCCGGGGCUCAACCCCGGAAUUGCCUUUAAGACUGCAUCGCUUGAAUCCGGGAGAGGUGAGUGGAAUUCCGAGUGUAGAGGUGAAAUUCGUAGAUAUUCGGAAGAACACCAGUGGCGAAGGCGGCUCACUGGACCGGUAUUGACGCUGAGGUGCGAAAGCGUGGGUAGCAAACAGG
rnacentral:rRNA from 1 species